GACGAACGCUGGCGGCGUGCUUAACACAUGCAAGUCGAACGGAAAGGCCCCUUUGGGGGUCCUCGAGUGGCGCACGGGUGAGUAACACGUGAGUAACCUGCCCUUGACUUCGGGAUAACUUCAGUAAACUGGGGCUAAUACCGGAUAGGAAUCCUUGCUGCAUGGUGGGGGUUGGAAAGCUUCGGCGGUUUUGGAUGGACUCGCGGCUUAUCAGCUUGUUGGUGGGGUAGUGGCUUACCAAGGCUUUGACGGGUAGCCGGCCUGAGAGGGCGACCGGCCACAUUGGGACUGAGAUACGGCCCAGACUCCUACGGGAGGCAGCAGUGGGGAAUAUUGCACCAUGGGCGGAAGCCUGAUGCAGCAACGCCGCGGGCGGGAUGACGGCCUUCGGGUUGGAAACCGCGUUCAGCAGGGGCGAAGCUUGUGGUGACGGUACCUGCAGAAGAAGCACCGGCUAACUACGUG
rnacentral:rRNA from 1 species